AUGAACGCUGGCGGCGUGCUUAACACAUGCGAGUCGAACGAAGCACUUUAACCUGAUUCUUCGGAUGAAGGUUUUUGUGACUGAGUGGCGGACGGGUGAGUAACGCGUGGGUAACCUGCCUCAUACAGGGGGAUAACAGUUAGAAAUGACUGCUAAUACCGCAUAAGACCACAGAGCCGCAUGGCUCGGUGGGAAAAACUCCGGUGGUAUGAGAUGGACCCGCGUCUGAUUAGGUAGUUGGUGGGGUAACGGCCUACCAAGCCAACGAUCAGUAGCCGACCUGAGAGGGUGACCGGCCACAUUGGGACUGAGACACGGCCCAAACUCCUACGGGAGGCAGCAGUGGGGAAUAUUGCACAAUGGGGGAAACCCUGAUGCAGCGACGCCGCGUGAGCGAAGAAGUAUUUCGGUAUGUAAAGCUCUAUCAGCAGGGAAGAAAAUGACGGUACCUGACUAAGAAGCACCGGCUAAAUACGUG
rnacentral:rRNA from 1 species